CCUGGACGGAGGAAGGAUGGACCUGGAGUCACGUCUCGGGAAGAAGGAAGAUUCACUACGUCUAGAAAUGCAGAGCCUUGCGAAUACUGUGCCGUGAAGCCCAGCAUCCGGAGCACGGCCCGGCUUGAGGCGUGUAAGUAACUCUGCUUUCCAGAGCCCUGGCACGUCAUCUGCUCCCAGAUUCGGAAAAGGGGGACCACCUCGCCUGGAAGCCGUGGGGUGGCUCUGAAGGCCCUGGCAAUUUCCUUCAGCCUCUUGGAGUGUAACCUGCGUGAGCCUAGAAACCACCCUUGCACCAUCUGGCUGCCAUGCAUUCUCUCCUGUCUUGCCGUGGAUCUCGACCCCGCCUUCUGUCUGUCUACCUGUGCCGCUGUAGAGACGGUUCUCCUUGGAGAAGUUGUAAACUGGAAAAGUUAGACCUUGAACCCAGACCUCUCUGACUUGGGUUCCAUUGUUCUUGCCCUGUACCAUGUGCAUGCCCUCUGAGCUCCCACCUCCCCGCUCAGCUACCCACCCCUGGGUGAAGAAAGCCCCAUCUUCAUUUUAUAGACAGUUGACAGGACCCUGGUUAUCAACUCUGUGUCCCCCACUAACUGGGGCCUCAGCAGCAGAGGGGCCUGGGCCUGACCGUCCCUGGGCCUCCAGCACACGGCAUCACAUGGGAACGGCUCCUGUGCCUCGAGGUCUCUGGCUGUGCUCAAGGUGCACUGCUGUAGGGGAGAGGCAGGCCUGUCACUUUGUCUUCCUUAACUGUAAUAACUGCAGCCAAACGUCA